rnacentral:misc_RNA from 1 species
UCCGGUUUGGCACCGGCAGUCCUCCCAGAGUCCCCGCCAUGACGCGCUGGCAACUGGGAGCGGGGGUUGCGCUCGUUGCGGGACUUAACCCAACAUCUCACGACACGAGCUGACGACAGCCAUGCAGCACCUGUCUUAGGGCUCCGAAGAGGGGCCGUGGUUUCUCACGGCUUUCCCCAAGAUGUCAAGCCCAGGUAAGGUGGGGAUGACGUGUCCUU